GUCCGGAUGGCGCAGUGGUCAGCGCAUCUGCCUCAUAAGCAAAAGACAUGGGUUUGAAUCCCAAUCCAGCACA